CGAACCGGUUCUGCCGAAUAGGUGCCAACUGGUAGGAACCCACCUCUGCUUCAGUGUGUGUGCGUGUGUCAGAUGAAGUUGACUUAAGGAGCUGCCUUAAGUUCUUCUUAGCUGUAAAAAUAAUGUUGUCCCCCCUUAUCUCAACAUCAGAUUUGGUAUGGAUACAAGCAACUCAGUCCAUUGUUUUGUCAAUGGUAGCCAGAUGACCUCUGGGGAGCAACGUGUGGAUGUGGCUGGCAUACAUCGACUCUGUUAGGCGGGAUUAUGCUGGAUUGUAUGAGGACUCACAAGCAAAACUUAAAUCUAAUUGAAGUGUGACCACUCAUUUGAAACCUAGGAUUAGGAAGAUGAUGUAUUAAAGUACUAUUCUGUGUUCUGUGCUUUGAUUUUGCUGGCACCAGCACAGAAAUCCCAAAGUAUAUAAUAAGGCAAGCUUGUCCCAACCUGCAACCUUUCACAGAAUCUGGAAUGCAACUUCUAUCAGCUCUACCCAGAUACAGUUUUGGACACUGGUGGAUGGAAGUGAUGGGAAUUUUAAUUUAGCAAUGGGUUGAGGGUAUUUGUGAUAUUUCUUUCCAAGAUAAAUUAUUGAAGUGUGUUAAUCACAAUUUACUUUAAAAAAGAGAAAUAACGGAAAUGCUAUUCCUUUGCCUUGAAAUAACAGUGGGAUUGAGUUUGACGAUGUGUAUAACAGAUUUACUGAUACUUUAUAUUAGGAUUCUACAAGUGUUUCAAGUCUGUUUGUCUCUACCCCAGAUUUAACACAAAAGUAGUAAUUUCAUUAAAAUAGGCACAGCAUUAGUUAAUGUCUUCCUUUUAUUUUUGAAAAUAAUGUCUAUGUGCAUGCAUAUUUACAAAAUAUGUAGUAUGGAGAAAGCGUAGAAAGGGUGAAAGCCACAUAGCGGACCGGAAUUUGCAUUGGAUAUUUAUAGAGUUAUGAAACAACGGAUGGGCUUAAAUUGAUUCACCACUGAAAAAUGCUACAAGGAUAGGAGAUUAGAGUUGCAAUUUAAAAAUAUCAGGAUAUUAAGAGGAUAUUAUAUGGCGUUGCAUUUAAAUUUUAAUACAUUAUUGCUUUCGGUCACUUCUGUGCUACUUGGAGCAUCGGAUGGCACAUUUUCUUUCAUUCUUGCCCUGCAAGAUUUAAAACCCAAGUUAAACAAAAUGCUAGCCAAUCUCUUAGUGUUGAAACCAAUCCUUUUGCCUAGUAUGCUAUAAAUAUGUUUAUCUUAUGUAGUGCCCAGAAUGUUCUAUGUCAAUUAUUUUUUGGAGGGGUGUUUAAGUACCGUAGAUGUUACUUUACACACUUCAAACACAGGAUUGUUAUAUGCAGAAAAUGAUGUUGGCUUAAAGCAUUUAUGUAGAGCAGCAUCACUUAAAAGUUUAUUCUAAGAAGGCAAUAUUAGACUCAUUCAUAUGAAAGAAACCUUCAUUGAAAUCAGUAUGGCUUUCAUCAAGGUACAUAUGAUUUAAGUUUGGACUAUUUAUUCUUCCUCCCCUUCCCAGUAUAAACUGCCUUGCAGGAAGGUUAAUACUAAGCUGUUUUAUACACAAUGAAAAUGCCAAUACAUGUAAUGAGAGACAAUUUAAAAAAAUCUGUUGUAUUCAUCUGUUCUGGAAUAUAUUGUAGUACUAGUAGUGCAAGGAAUUCCGUGAUACAUUAUAUCCUCCAUUCACUUCGGUAAUUCAAAUAUACAAUAAC